UAUAACUCCUCCUCUAACUGCUCCUAUACCCUCUCACUAUAACACCUCCUCUAACUGCUGCUAUACCCACUCCCUAUAACUCCUCCUCUAACUGCUCCUAUACCCACUCCCUAUAACUCCUCCUCUAACUGCUCCUAUACCCACUCCCUAUAACUCCUCCUCUCACUGCUCCUAUACCCACACCCUAUAACUCCUCCUCUAAAUGCUCCUAUACCCACUCCCUAUAACUCCUCCCCUAACUGCUCCUAUACCCACUCCCUAUAACUACUCCUCUAACUGCUCCUAUACCCACUCCCUAUAACUCCUCCUCUCACUGCUCCUAUACCCACUCCCUAUAACUCCCCCUCUAACUGCUCCUAUACCCACUCCCUAUAACUCCUCCUCUAACUGCUCCUAUACCCACUCCUUAUAACUCCUCCCCUAACUGCUCCUAUACCUACUCCUUAUAACUCCUCCUAUAACUGCUCCUACACCCACUCCCUAUAACUCCUCCUCUCACUGCUCC